rnacentral:rRNA from 1 species
GAUGAACGCUGGCGGCGUGCCUAAUACAUGCAAGUCGAGCGAACAGAUGAGGAGCUUGCUCCUCUGACGUUAGCGGCGGACGGGUGAGUAACACGUGGAUAACCUACCUAUAAGACUGGGAUAACUUCGGGAAACCGGAGCUAAUACAGGAUAAUAUAUUGAACCGCAUGGUUCAAUAGUGAAAGACGGUUUUGCUGUCACUUAUAGAUGGAUCCGCGCCGCAUUAGCUAGUUGGUAAGGUAACGGCUUACCAAGGCGACGAUGCGUAGCCGACCUGAGAGGGUGAUCGGCCACACUGGAACUGAGACACGGUCCAGACUCCUACGGGAGGCAGCAGUAGGGAAUCUUCCGCAAUGGGCGAAAGCUUGACGGAGCAACACCGCGUGAGUGAUGAAGGUCUUCGGAUCGUAAAGCUCUGUUAUUAGGGAAGAACAAAUGUGUAAUUAACUAUGCACGUCUUGACGGUACCUAAUCAGAAAGCCACGGCUAACUACGUG